UACGGGGGGAGCAAGCGUUGUUCGGAUUUACUGGGCGUAAAGGGCGCGUAGGCGGCGUGACAAGUCACUUGUGAAAUCUCCGGGCUUAACUCGGAGCGGCCAAGUGAUACUGUCGUGCUAGAGUGCGGAAGGGGCUACUGGAAUUCUCGGUGUAGCGGUGAAAUGCGUAGAUAUCGAGAGGAACACCUGCGGCGAAGGCGGGUAGCUGGGCCGACACUGACGCUGAGGCGCGAAAGCGUGGGGAGCAAACAGG
rnacentral:rRNA from 1 species